UAUAAACUAUAGCAGCUUAAUAUGCAACAGUAUGCUUCCCCUCACUUUACAACAUGAUUGGAAAAUUUUAUUUUCACUCUUCUCUGAUCCUCCCCCCCAUAAUGGUAAAGAACUAUUUUAUAAUUGACAGAUAUACGUUCCCUUUUAUGAAGGAAUCCUUCGUUUUCAUUCACUUUGAUAAUACUUUCAUUAGUUACAAACAAGUAUGAUAUGGAACAAUCUGAUAUUGAAACACCCAAUAAUUUCUGUUGAAUUGAACUGUGCUUUAGUAACUUUUGUAUACUAACAGAUUUUUUGUUUUCACAAAGACUACUCUUUUUAAAUUAAUCUAAAGAUCUAAGGCUGUCCAUGCAAUGCAAAGACCUCUCUGUCUUUGCAAUCAUUUUUUAAAAUAAAGUAUUUUUUAAAUCUAGAAGUUGAUACUUGGUCAGUUGAAAGAAAAAAAACCCACCAAUAAAAUGGCAGAUUACACAGUAAGUUUUAAACUGUAAAUUAGUUGUAUAUUACCUCUCUUCUUUAUGCCCUUGUUAGAGCUAGAUGAGAGUCACCUUAAAAAAGCAUCAGAUUCAGACUUGGCUUGUCAUAAGAAAUCAUUCUUUAAGGAAUACACUCGUCACCCACUAAAAGAGAAUUUUAGGACUGGAAAAAAGUCAAUUUACAUAAAGUGUGUCUAGUAUCUCAAAUAAAUACAAUCUAUACAAGAGAAUAUUGAUAUAUAAUACACCAUCUAUUAAGCCUCUAUUAAGAACUGUGCUAGGGGAGAUCUAAGUUUAAGAAUUCUGCCUUCAAAGAGUAGAGUCUAAUAGAAGAAUAAGAUAGCCACAGUCUACAAUCUGAUCUAAUUGAUGCCUUGGAAAGUUAAAGAUGAAUUUUGGAGAAGUCUAGAAAGGUUUUCAAGAAGAGAUUGUACUGAUUUGAGAUUUAAAGAGCAGGUAGGAAUUUAUAGACAAGGGGAGAGAAAGAUGAUUCUAGCCUGGGGAACAAUUCAAGAAAAGCCUUAGAGAUUAGUGUUGUGUGGGAUGAAGGACCCCAGAGUUGUGCACAGGGUUGGAGGACUAGGAAUGAUACUAGGGACAUUUGAAUGUGCAAUAGGGAACAACUGAGGUUUUUAAAAAAUUAAACAAGAUACAUCAGUUCUAUGCCUAAGAACAUUAUUUUUGUAGUGAUAAGAGGGUGUGAUUGGAGGAAAAGCAAGAGCAGAGGUUUAGUUAUAGAAGCCCUGGAAUUGACGUUUAAAGAUGUUCUGGGUUUGCAUUCUAUCCCUAAGGCCCUUGAUUUUUGUAGAGUUUCAAUUUCUGUAUCUGUAAAGGGGAUAUGGAUAAUUUCAUUUGAUAUCUUACAAGGAAGAUCAAAUGAGAUAGUGUUUUCUCCUAAAGUACUGUAAGUCAACUAUUAGUUAUAAUUAAAAGACCUAGAGUAGUUUACCCAAUGAGGCCUGACCAAUUCUAUUUUAUAUUAUAGAAAUUAAGUGGGAGAUUCUCAUUUUAAGUAAAAAGAAAUGGCCCUGAAAUUUAACACUAUCAUGUUUGCCUCAGAAAUUAAUGUUUAUUAAGUACAUUCUCCAAGAAGUCAUGAAAAAAAUUAUAGCCAAUUAGGUUGAAAUCUUUUUGAACUUUUAUACAGCUCCUAUGUGAUUCUUUGGAGAAGGAUGUGUGUUAUGUUAAACUCAGUGACAUGUUGUUGACUGUUCAUAUCUCUUAGGAGAGAGCUCAGCUCUUACAGCAUGGUCUUGUGUGAUUAGUCCAAUCUUCAGAACUCCUCAUGAAUCUGGGGGUGCCAUCAUACUGAUUUUCUUAUAGGUUCCACUUCUUAUAUUGGAUACAUGUCUUGGAUGGAUCCUUAGGGGGAUGAUCCAGAGGGCAACGGUGGGUAUAUUCAGUCCCCAAUAUCUUAGAAUAAUUUGCUAAAGAGGGAUAAAGUCAUUUUAGAAAAGCUGGUCUAAUGGUAAAAUUAAGAAAUAACGGCAUAGCAAAAUCCAUUGUUACCCUUGUGAUGUCACAUGAAAGCAAGGAAGGCUGCCAGCUCUGGGCAAAAUUGUUCCUUUGCUCCCUGUGGUGGUGUCCACCUUAUGGGAGGAUAUGAAUAAGACCCACACAAGCUGAGCACACGUGGCUAGCUUGUGGUCUGCACCAUGUAAAAAAAAUACCCACUCUGGUGAAAUCAUAAAUACAUUUUAGUAUAAGGUAGAUUAUUCAUUUGUUUUUUUGCUUUUAGUGCAAGUUCUCCCUUCACCCCAGCAUUAUUUUCACGGAAGUAGCCUUGAAAACAGCUUGAAGUCCACAGUGCAAGAUGACAUCUGAAACCCAUCCACUUUUAGUGGAUGGACGUGGGCGCAUCUGUUGGAUUUUUCUUUAUGGGGAUUAUGAUCUGAUGUUUGGUGUAUAUAUAUAUAUGUGUGUGUGUGUGUGUGUAACAGAAUUUAUAUGUAGCACUUUAAGGUUUGCAAAGCACUUUAUAAAUAUUUCAUGUUAUCCUCACACCAACCCUGGGAGUAGUUGCUAUUAUCUCCAUUUUACAGGUGAAGAAACAGAGGCAAACUGCUUAAGUGACCACUUAGGGUCACACAGCUAAUAAAUAUCUGAGG
ensembl:lncRNA